CCGUGUCUUACAGAAAUUCUCCCCUGGGUGCUGCUGGACCAGCCACAGGACAGCCUGGAGGAGGAGGCCCCGGGGGCCAGCCUGUGGCCCACCACCGUCACCCUCCUCACCCUCUUCCUGCUCAGCCUGUUCUACAGCACCGCCCUCACGGUGACAAGUGUGCGAGGACCACUUGGCAGCAAGGACCCCCAGUACUGAGGAGCGGCUGGGACCAGGGAAGAAGGCUGGAAGAGCCCUCUACAUGUAAGAGCUGAGCCCUGAAUGUCGCCCCACCUAUGUGCACACUCCUUCCUGCGCAAUAAAUCCAUGCCAAAC